rnacentral:ncRNA from 1 species
AAUCUUCAGGGCAGGGUGAAAUUCCCUACCGGUGGUAUAGCCCACGAGCCUUUAUGGCAUGAUUCGGUGAGAUUCCGAAGCCGACAGUAAAGUCUGGAUGAAAGAAGAU